GAUAUGCUUAAUUUAUUAUUAUAAACCAUAUUUAUUCUACUAUACAGAGAGCAUUAGAAGUUAUUUAAAAAAUAAUAAAGAUCAUAAUGUAAUAUUUUGGGUAGUGGUAUAUCUCAGUGGUAGAACAUGUGCUCAGCAUUCAGGAAGCCAAACAGUCACUCAUCGGCAUCAAAAAAAUAAAACAUAAAUAAAUAAUAUUUAAUAAAAAUUUUAAAAUCUAAGAUAAAACCAUAGAUAUGUGCAAGACAAUGUAAUUGUAUCAAUUAAAUUUUUUAACAUAAAGAUUUAAGUUGAAGCAAAAAUCCCAUAAUGAACAAAAUAUCAAAAUUUUUUUAAACUUUUUUUUUGAAUAUUUAUUUUUUAGUUGUAAUUGGACAUAAUAUCUUUAUUUUAUUUUUUGUGUGGUGCUGAGGAUCGAACCCAGGGCCCCAUACAUGCUAGGCGAGCACUCUACCGCUGAACCACAAUCCCAGCCCCUCAAAAUUUUUAAUAAAGAGCAUUAUUAGUGAUUUUUAUCUUUGCCAAGGAUUGCUAAAGUCAUUCCUUAAUUUUCACUUUUCCAAAAGCUUCACUGUGGAUCUCUUAUUUUUUCCUGUCAUUUUAUUUUGAGAGUGUUUGUGGCAGACAACCUGGCCUUUGAGGAAUUGGUCACCAAAUGUAAAAAGCUAAAUGUGACAUGGUUUUCUCUUAAAAUGUUGAGCUUCCAGCUAAACAAAAAUUGGGUGAGAUUUGAGAUAGGAUCACAUUUGUAGGAAUCAUGGAGAAUUGAGGACCAAUGUUUAGCUGCUACAUGAAAAGAAGAGCAUAUAGAUAGCACCCAGGUAAAGAAGAAGACACUAGUGGGUGCUUACUCAACACCAACCUCCAAAGGCCACUCCUAGCUAUUAGGAUACAUUUUCUCUUGCCAUCUGCCUCUCUUGUGGUUAGAUGUGGUUAUGUAACUCCAGCCUAACAGGUAAAUGUAGAAAGUCAGGGGGAGGAGGAGCUUCUGGAAAUUGUUUUUCUUCCUGGUAAAAGAAAACCUACUUUCUUCCCAUCCUCUAAACCUGCCUUUGAAGAAAAUCGCUGUCUAAUGUUGUUGCAGAUAACUUAGAUCCACAAGGGAACAAGCAAGAGGAUGAAAUACAACAUACUCAUAAUGGUAAAGUAGAAGGACAUGAAGAAACUGGAUUCUUGCUGACCUCUGCAGUAGAUGUUGCAAUACUAAGUCAAAUUCUCUCCAGCCAGUACAUUCAUACCUCAAUGGAAGUGUUAGCCUAGGGUGAGGAGAAUUCCCAACACUGAAGGGGGAAAAGACAAUGAGUACUGGGAUCCACUAUUCUCCUAUUGUAAAUUUCCCUCAAAAUGUCAUCAACCAGAAUCCUGGAGGGACUGGGAAUGUAGUUCAGUGGUGGAAUACAGGAGUACAUGCUUAACAUGCACGAGGUCUUGAGUUCAAUACUCAAGAUUUAAAAGGAAAAAAUAAUCCUAGAAAAAUCAUGCCCACAUGGAAUAAGUUAAUAUGAGGGAAAAAUGGGUUUUAGUGAUCCAAUGAGCAGAACAACAUUAGUAUCAUUAGUAUAUGUUGGUAUCAACCCAGAUCCCCUUUAUUGGACAAGAAGGGCACCAUCCUCUAGCUUCUCUAAAUGUUGGAUGCUAAUAACUUACAGCUGCAUCCUUCUAAAAAUCUUAGGAACUCACUUCUAAAUGGCUUUAAGGCUACAGCCCAUAAUCAAUGGCUGACUGAUAUGGGAGAGAGGGGGGCAAAUGAUUGACUGUCUCAUUUUUCCAAUGUAAAACAAUUCUGUAAUACCACGCAUGCUCUAUAACUCCCCAGUGACAUAAGCCUAAAGUCUGCUUGCUUCCCUUGCCCUAUCCUGAUUUUCCUCACUCCCUUACAAUUUCACCUGAGAGCACCCCCUCAGCAAAUCACAUACACAAGUUUUAUUUCUAAAAAGUCUAACCUAAGACCACAUCAUUUACUUUAAAAUGCUCAUACUCUGCUAUUGUUAGGUGAACAGUAGGAAAUGUCAUCCUUAACACAUGGUCUGAGUUUUCCUGAUAGAGCAGUUCAGAAAAAAAAAAAAUUCCAAAUGUCAAUUAGAGAAUUGUAACUGUUUCAUAAAUGAGAAAUAUGGAUUCUACCCAUUGUUCUCUUCUUAUUUUCUCAUAUAAUCAUAUAAAUAUGUAAGUUUUCCAAUUAAAUUCACUUUUCAAUUUCUUUCACACUAUUACACAUGGUCAUGAUUAGUGAUGCUUAAAUUUGAUAUUAUUUCAUAAGUGCAAAAAGAAAAAAAUAGCAUUAGAAACUGAAAGUCUCCAGAGCCAAACCUGUUAACUUCAAUGCUAACAUGCUCUUCCAUGAAUUUUAACACCGUUUGUUUUUUGUCUCAUAAGAGCAGCAUUAUUGGUAGAGUGUUAGUUGCCUACUGUUAUUCUAACAAGGAGCUUAAAACAUCACAAAUGUCUUAUUUUAGAGUUCUGGAGGACAAAGUACUGAAAUGGAUUUUAUUGGGCUAAUGAAAAUUUGAACAAGGCUGAAUUCUUUUUUGGAAGAUACAGAGGAAAAAUUGUUUUCUUGUGUUUUCCAGAUUCUAGAGGCUGACUUAUUCUUUGGUUCAUGGCCUUUGUUCAUCUUUAAAGCCAGCAAAGAUCAUUCAAAUCUUUCUCACCUUGUUCUCUUUGGUAGUGGCUUUUCUCCCUCUCUCUUUCACUUUGAAAGAUUCUUGUAAUUACAUUGGGCCUAUCCAGAUAAUAAAGGACAAUUUUAAUGUUAUAAGACCAGCUAGUUAGUACAAUUCAUUCUAUCCAGUUUUAUUCUCCCUUGCAAUGUAACAAUAUAUUCAUAGAAUCCAUGGAUAAGACACAGGCAUCUUUGGGGGACUGUUGUUUUGACACAAAUAGAGCUAGAUUAAGAAUAAUAAUUUUAGUCAGUAGAUGUGGUACUGAAUUAGCCAUACUCUUUAACUAUCUGGCUUUCAGUUGAUGUUAUUUCCCUGCUCCUCCAAGUAAAAUUCUCAUAUUCCUUAAAAAAAUUCAAGAACUGAAUCUAAAAAAUAUAGACCAGAAUUCAGCAGAAUACUAUUUCAUGACAUCUUCUAUCCUCCCCCACAAACACACACCAUCCUGAGUAAAUAAUGCUUGCUGCAGGAAUCCAUCAAAUUUAUGAUUGUUUAAAAUAUACAUAAUCAUGGAAGAAGUAGGAUGGAGAAAAAUUUUAUAAAGAACUAAGACUGAUUUUCUGGGUAUCUCAAGGACUGAAAUAUCAUGCAAAGUUAAUGCAAGAAGAAAACUCUCAAGUGAUCUGUCUGGUAGUGUAAAGUGUAUAGAAUUCUAGUAUAUUCUGUGUACUGCAAAAAUAACUUGGUGGUAGUGAGGAUCAAACCCAAGGAUUUUCUACCACUGAGUAACACAAGUAUGCUAUAACUUUUAUUUUUAUUUAAUUAUUAUAUUACUAAAAUCUUAAUAAGAAAAUUGUUUCAGGCUGCUUGUAGAACUUGGCAUGGAAAUCAUUCUUCAAGUAUUUAGCCCACUAACUCAUUUAUAUAUUUUAUUUGUACAUCAUAAAUUAAAACAAGAAAUAAUACAUGGGAGCAUGCUUUGUACACUUCAUUUUUUAACUUAAAAGUAUAUAUAAAUAUACUUUUCCCAUACAAAAAUUGGAACAGUAUGUAUCCCAAUGGAAAAAUCUUAUAAGUGUAGAUAAGAGAAAAAAUAACUAUCAUGUGCAUCUCAAUCAUCUAGAGAUACCAAAUACUAAUAUUUUUCAUAUUCAUGGUUAGGGUGCUGACAGGAAGAGUAACAUUUCCAAAAUAACUAAUUUGAGUUGAGUUUAUCAAAAAUAUUUUCAAAGUUGUCAGUGGAGUGUGGAGAAACUAUAAGAAUUAGUGUAAUUCCUCAAGUCUAGUAAGAGUUAGGCUUCCAUACACUCCUAAAACCUGAAUGGGUAAGUAAAGAAGAAAUUAUCCUGGAGAAAGAGAGAAAGAGGGAGGAAGGCAGAGUCAUGAGGAGGGCUAUCUCAUAAAUAUAAUAUUAAGAUUGAUACAGGAUCUCAAAUGUGUUCACCCAAGAAAGGGGUAAGUAUAAGUACUCAGAUAUUCCCAUCCUCCCUUUUUCUAGCUCCUCACUGGCCAAAAUCAACUGGAAGUCAAGGCAAGGAAGGCCACUUAUCAAAAGAACAGAUGGGAGAAGUAAAGGGUUCUCUGGAGGAAAAAAUGGAAGAUAUCCAGGAGAGAGAGAGAGAGAGAGAGGCCUUCAUUCAUCUAUGUACUCCUGUACUCAUGCACCAAAUAAUCAAUCAUGAAAGUGACCAAAGACCAUAUCCUGGGCUUUACAAUUUUUCUCUAUUUAUAUCUCUCUUCCUCUAAUAAUGUCUAAUAAUUAUUUACUUGGUAUUUUAGUAGCUAUCUGGUUUGGGGGAGGAUUUUUUGGUUGGUUGGUUUUGCCUGCCUAAACCUCAUUUCCCCUCUGGAUAGCAGCACUCUGAUUUUCUUACUGUAAGUCAUUCCACCAUACUCAGUCCUUGUUGUUCUAACACCACCCCCAGCUCAUACCAGGCAUAUAAGCCAUGUCUUAUCCCAUUUCUACCCACAAUAAUCAUUUCAAGAAUGGGAACAAAAUCCAAGUUUCAGUCAAUGAGAAUCAGGCCCAAGGCUCUUGUUGAAAUAAUUAAAAAGAAAAUGCUGUCUUCCUUUGGCCAUGAGUUGGUAAGAUGAAGGGUGAGAUGUGCUGCAUGUGCUGCAGGUGCUGCACAUAGAAUGCACUGGGGAUAGCACCAAGGCCGACAAGAGCAUCUCUUCAGGGUGGAGAGAAAAAGAGCAAAAUCUAAUCUGGGUUUCUGCUACAUAUCUGCCUACACUUAACUCCUACAUUGAUGCCUAUGCUUUUCAAUUAUGUGAGGUGAUCUAUAUAUUUUGUUACUGGUGUUGUUGUUGCUGUCAUUGAGUCAAGGGCCUCAAACGUGCUAAGCACAUGUUUUAUCACUGAGUCACACCUCCCAGUCCCUUUAAGUGGAUCUUUUUGAUUAAAACUAUUUGGUUUGGAUUUGGAGUUAAGAAAAUCUGGAGUUCUAACUGAUGAGAAAAUAUAACAUCAAUAUAUGUCCUCAUCAGUAAACAUAUAGGCACACCUUGUUGUGGCUGAUUGUUUCAGUCACCAGAUAUAGAAAUGGA
rnacentral:lncRNA from 1 species